GGGCCAGCUUAGCCUAGCGGUUACUUCGACUCUACAUUGCAGACUCUAAUUGCUUAACGGCAGUUUGAUACCCCGCAGGCGCUGUCUGGUCUUUUU
ensembl:vault_RNA Vault Vault RNA